ensembl:snoRNA
GAGCCAGCCAAAUAAUCUGCUUAUCAGAAUGUGUUUCUGCAGAAAUUUAGAAAUAGCUAGCAAUAGUGAUGCCAUUUUAUGAGCUUUAAGGACAACUGAAUUAUUAUCGUCCCUCAAAAUGGCUACAAUA